GAUGAACGCUGGCGGCGUGCUUAACACAUGCAAGUCGAGCGAAGCACCUAAGAAAGAUUCUUCGGAUGAAUUCUUUUGUGACUGAGCGGCGGACGGGUGAGUAACGCGUGGGUAACCUGCCUCAUACAGGGGGAUAACAGUUAGAAAUGACUGCUAAUACCGCAUAAGACCACGGUACUGCAUGGUACAGUGGUAAAAACUCCGGUGGUAUGAGAUGGAUCCGCGUCUGAUUAGCUAGUUGGUGGGGUAACGGCCUACCAAGGCGACGAUCAGUAGCCGACCUGAGAGGGUGACCGGCCACAUUGGGACUGAGACACGGCCCAAACUCCUACGGGAGGCAGCAGUGGGGAAUAUUGCACAAUGGGGGAAACCCUGAUGCAGCGACGCCGCGUGAAGGAUGAAGUAUUUCGGUAUGUAAACUUCUAUCAGCAGGGAAGAAAAUGACGGUACCUGACUAAGAAGC
rnacentral:rRNA from 1 species